UCGUGCUAGACGGGGAGCUAGCGGUGCCCUGUACCCGCAAUCCGCUCUAGCGGGGUUGAAUUCCUGCCCGAGGGCUGCCGUUUGGGGACUGCUCCUGCAAGGUGGCGUUGACGAUCUGGUCCCGCGCGGCGGAACGCCUCGAACCUGGUCAGGUCCGGAAGGAAGCAGCCAUAAGAGGAUGCUUCCGGGUGCCGCGGGUUCACCGGAUCAGAGUCAACUUGCAACGAGUAAGCCCGGGUGACAGUUCGACGGCAGGUGCACGG
rnacentral:SRP_RNA from 1 species